GAUGAACGCUGGCGGCGUGCCUAAUACAUGCAAGUCGAGCGAACAGACGAGGAGCUUGCUCCUCCGACGUUAGCGGCGGACGGGUGAGUAACACGUGGAUAACCUACCUAUAAGACUGGGAUAACUUCGGGAAACCGGAGCUAAUACCGGAUAAUAUAUUGAACCGCAUGGUUCAAUAGUGAAAGACGGUUUUGCUGUCACUUAUAGAUGGAUCCGCGCCGCAUUAGCUAGUUGGUAAGGUAACGGCUUACCAAGGCAACGAUGCGUAGCCGACCUGAGAGGGUGGUCGGCCACACGGGAACUGAGACACGGUCCAGACUCCUACAGGAGGCAGCAGUAGGGAAUCUUCCGCAAGGGGCGAAAGCCUGACGGAGCAACGCCGCGUGAGUGAUGAAGGUCUUCUGAUCGUAAAACUCUGUUAUUAGGGAAGAAGAAAUGUGUAAGUAACUAUGCACGUCUUGACGGUACCUAAUCAGAAAGCCACGGCUAACUACGUG
rnacentral:rRNA from 1 species